ACGAGUUAUCUGAACCUUCGGGGAACGAUAACGGCGUCGAGCGGCGGACGGGUGAGUAAUGCCUAGGAAAUUGCCCUGAUGUGGGGGAUAACCAUUGGAAACGAUGGCUAAUACCGCAUGAUGCCUACGGGCCAAAGAGGGGGACCUUCGGGCCUCUCGCGUCAGGAUAUGCCUAGGUGGGAUUAGCUAGUUGGUGAGGUAAGGGCUCACCAAGGCGACGAUCCCUAGCUGGUCUGAGAGGAUGAUCAGCCACACUGGAACUGAGACACGGUCCAGACUCCUACGGGAGGCAGCAGUGGGGAAUAUUGCACAAUGGGCGCAAGCCUGAUGCAGCCAUGCCGCGUGUGUGAAGAAGGCCUUCGGGUUGUAAAGCACUUUCAGUCGUGAGGAAGGUGGUGUAGUUAAUAGCUGCAUUAUUUGACGUUAGCGACAGAAGAAGCACC
rnacentral:rRNA from 1 species